rnacentral:sRNA from 1 species
AGUGUUCUAUUGUGUCCA